rnacentral:rRNA from 1 species
GAUAAACGCUAGCGGCGUGCCUUAUGCAUGCAAGUCGAACGGUACCUUAGCUUUCGGGUUAAGGGAGAGUGACGAACGGGUGAGUAACGCGUAAGUAACCUGUCCCUAAGUAAGGAAUAACUCUGAGAAAUCGGAGCUAAUACAUUAUGUGAUGGUAAAGGUAAGGCUUUACCACUAAAGUCUUAGGGCGCUUGGGGAGGGGCUUGCGUCCGAUUAGCUAGUUGGUAGGGUAAUGGUUUACCAAGGCGAUGAUCGGUAGCUGGUUUGAGAGGACGGCCAGCCACACUGGGACUGAGACACGGCCCAGACUCCUACGGGAGGCAGCAGCAAGGAAUUUUGUGCAAUGGGCGAAAGCCUGACACAGCAACGCCGCGUGGGGGAUGAAUGCCCUCGGGUUGUAAACCCCUUUUCUCAGGGAAGAAUAAUGACGGUACCUGAUGAAUAAGCUUCGGCUAACUACGUG